AAUUAAUAAGCUUUUUAAGCAUUUGUUUUGAAAACUUAAGAAAGAAGAGACUUCUUCUAUUAAUUU
rnacentral:tRNA from 1 species